rnacentral:rRNA from 1 species
UACGAAGGGGGCUAGCGUUGCUCGGAAUCACUGGGCGUAAAGCGCACGUAGGCGGAUUUUAAGUCAGGGGUGAAAUCCUGGAGCUCAACUCCAGAACUGCCUUUGAUACUGGGAAUCUCGAGUCCGGAAGAGGUGAGUGGAACUGCGAGUGUAGAGGUGAAAUUCGUAGAUAUCGCAAGAACACCAGUGGCGAAGGCGGCUCACUGGUCCGGUACUGACGCUGAGGCGCGGACAGCG